rnacentral:siRNA from 1 species
AGAAGCUGAGUUUGGAUGCCGCAU